rnacentral:rRNA from 1 species
GAUGAACGCUGGCGGCGUGCUUAACACAUGCAAGUCGAACGAAGCACCUUGAUUCGAUUCUUCGGAUGAAGAUCUUGGUGACUGAGUGGCGGACGGGUGAGUAACGCGUGGGUAACCUGCCUCAUACAGGGGGAUAACAGUUAGAAAUGACUGCUAAUACCGCAUAAGACCACAGCACCGCAUGGUGCAGGGGUAAAAACUGCGGUGGUAUGAGAUGGACCCGCGUCUGAUUAGGUAGUUGGUGGGGUAACGGCCUACCAAGCCGACGAUCAGUAGCCGACCUGAGAGGGUGACCGGCCACAUUGGGACUGAGACACGGCCCAAACUCCUACGGGAGGCAGCAGUGGGGAAUAUUGCACAAUGGGGGAAACCCUGAUGCAGCGACGCCGCGUGAGCGAUGAAGUAUUUCGGUAUGUAAAGCUCUAUCAGCAGGGAAGAAAAUGACGGUACCUGACUAAGAAGCACCGGCUAAAUACGUG